rnacentral:rRNA from 1 species
UACAGAGGUCUCAAGCGUUGUUCGGAUUCAUUGGGCGUAAAGGGUGCGUAGGCGGCGCGGUAAGUCGGGUGUGAAAUCUCGGAGCUUAACUCCGAAACUGCAUUCGAUACUGCCGUGCUUGAGGACUGGAGAGGAGACUGGAAUUUACGGUGUAGCGGUGAAAUGCGUAGAUAUCGUAAGGAAGACCAGUGGCGAAGGCGGGUCUCUGGACAGUUCCUGACGCUGAGGCAUGAAGGCCAGGGGAGCAAACGGG